CCUUCGGGAUUAGUGGCGGACGGGUGAGUAACACGUGGGAACGUGCCCUUUGGUUCGGAACAACUCAGGGAAACUUGAGCUAAUACCGGAUGUGCCCUUCGGGGGAAAGAUUUAUCGCCAUUGGAGCGGCCCGCGUCUGAUUAGCUAGUUGGUAGGGUAAAGGCCUACCAAGGCUACGAUCAGUAGCUGGUCUGAGAGGAUGAUCAGCCACACUGGGACUGAGACACGGCCCAG
rnacentral:rRNA from 1 species